rnacentral:rRNA from 1 species
AGAGUUUGAUCCUGGCUCAGGAUGAACGCUAGCUACAGGCUUAACACAUGCAAGUCGAGGGGCAGCAUCAUCAAAGCUUGCUUUGAUGGAUGGCGACCGGCGCACGGGUGAGUAACACGUAUCCAACCUGCCGACAACACUGGGAUAGCCUUUCGAAAGAAAGAUUAAUACCGGAUGGCAUAGUUUUCCCGCAUGGGAUAAUUAUUAAAGAAUUUCGGUUGUCGAUGGGGAUGCGUUCCAUUAGGCAGUUGGCGGGGUAACGGCCCACCAAACCAACGAUGGAUAGGGGUUCUGAGAGGAAGGUCCCCCACAUUGGAACUGAGACACGGUCCAAACUCCUACGGGAGGCAGCAGUGAGGAAUAUUGGUCAAUGGACGAGAGUCUGAACCAGCCAAGUAGCGUGAAGGAUGACUGCCCUAUGGGUUGUAAACUUCUUUUAUACGGGAAUAAAGUUAGCCACGUGUGGCUUUUUGUAUGUACCGUAUGAAUAAGGAUCGGCUAACUCCGUGCCAGCAGCCGCGGUAAUACGGAGGAUCCGAGCGUUAUCCGGAUUUAUUGGGUUUAAAGGGAGCGUAGGCGGGUUGUUAAGUCAGUUGUGAAAGUUUGCGGCUCAACCGUAAAAUUGCAGUUGAUACUGGCGACCUUGAGUGCAACAGAGGUAGGCGGAAUUCGUGGUGUAGCGGUGAAAUGCUUAGAUAUCACGAAGAACUCCGAUUGCGAAGGCAGCUUACUGGAUUGUAACUGACGCUGAUGCUCGAAAGUGUGGGUAUCAAACAGGAUUAGAUACCCUGGUAGUCCACACAGUAAACGAUGAAUACUCGCUGUUGGCGAUAUACAGUCAGCGGCCAAGCGAAAGCAUUAAGUAUUCCACCUGGGGAGUACGCCGGCAACGGUGAAACUCAAAGGAAUUGACGGGGGCCCGCACAAGCGGAGGAGCAUGUGGUUUAAUUCGAUGAUACGCGAGGAACCUUACCCGGGCUUAAAUUGCAACUGACUGAACCGGAAACGGUUCUUUCUUCGGACAGUUGUGAAGGUGCUGCAUGGUUGUCGUCAGCUCGUGCCGUGAGGUGUCGGCUUAAGUGCCAUAACGAGCGCAACCCUUAUCGAUAGUUACUAGCAGGUCAUGCUGAGGACUCUAUUGAGACUGCCGUCGUAAGAUGUGAGGAAGGUGGGGAUGACGUCAAAUCAGCACGGCCCUUACGUCCGGGGCUACACACGUGUUACAAUGGGGGGUACAGAAGGCAGCUACACGGCGACGUGGUGCUAAUCCCGAAAGCCUCUCUCAGUUCGGAUUGGAGUCUGCAACCCGACUCCAUGAAGCUGGAUUCGCUAGUAAUCGCGCAUCAGCCACGGCGCGGUGAAUACGUUCCUCGGGCCUUGCACACACCGCCCGUCAAG